GCUAUAUCCAUGCUACUAACAGUGGAUAUAAUAAAGAGGCAGCAAGGAGCUUCAGUUUCUUUUCCCAAGCCCGCCAGCUGGAUUUUGACCUGAGGAAAGACAGAAAGUCAAGAUUACUCGUGACCCUCAAGAUUGCUAGCGCCGACUUUCUUAACAUCAAUGAAACAGAUACGCCUGUGAUAAUCUGCAGGUUGAAGCAACCCCCAACCCCCGCGCACAUACAAAACAUGAUUUCAACUGAGAAGGAAGGAGGGUUUGAGCUCCCGGAACAAGAUUAUGGAAUACCAAUUGGGCUGGUUUUGUUAAACAAACCUGGCAACCCUAGUUGCCAUAUGGGAAAUGGUGGGUGUUGUCACCUGUAUUAAAACAGAUUAUAGCCUGGGUUUCUCUUAAGGAUGUGCAUAACAAUGUCAACAAUGCAGUCAAAUGUACAGCAAAGACAUGAAAGAGUGAAUGGAUUAUGUCCUCAAAUAAUUUCUCUUUUCUGUGCUUUCUCAGAAUCUCUCUAUUUCCUCUGUAAGGUGUGUACUGUAUUAUUCUGAUGAGUCCGCGCUCGUCUUAAUUAGCUGGAGCGGAGGCUUAUGAGAGGAAAGAGGCUGCAAAUGCAAUAACGUGGUUUGCUGAGCCGUAACUCGACACUGCCUUAAACUGUGGCAGAGAUGUGGCUGGCUGCUGGUAGAGAAAAGGAGCAUGGGAGCACAGUACCUUAUCCGAAACCUCUUCCUCACUAUUACCUCUCACCCACACAUAACUGAGGGCUGUGGAGGAUAGUCUACUUUAUUUUACUCCACACGUCUUGGGUGUAUUCUCCUCUGCAGAUAGAUGAAAUGAGGUGGAGAAUGAUCAUUUUGUAGA
ensembl:lncRNA